ACUCCUACGGGAGGCAGCAGUGAGGAAUAUUGCACAAUGGGGGAAACCCUGAUGCAGCAACGCCGCGUGGAGGAUGACGCAUUUCGGUGUGUAAACUCCUUUUAUAUGUCAAGAAAAUGACGGUAGCAUAUGAAUAAGCACCGGCUAACUCCGUGCCAGCAGCCGCGGUAAUACGGAGGGUGCAAGCGUUAUUCGGAAUCACUGGGCGUAAAGGACGCGUAGGCGGGUUGGCAAGUCAGAUGUGAAAUCCUACAGCUUAACUGUAGAACUGCAUUUGAAACUGCCGACCUAGAGUAUGGGAGGGGGAGAUGGAAUUAGUGGUGUAGGGGUAAAAUCCGUAGAUAUCACUAGGAAUACCGAAAGCGAAGGCGAUCUCCUGGAACAUAACUGACGCUAAGGCGUGAAAGCGUGGGGAGCAAACAGGAUUAGAUACCCUGGUAGUCCACGCCCUAAACGAUGUUCACUAGUCGUCGCUCUGCUAGUCAGGGCGGUGAUGCACUUAACAGAUUAAGUGAACCGCCUGGGGAGUACGGUCGCAAGAUUAAAACUCAAAGGAAUAGACGGGGACCCGCACAAGUGGUGGAGCAUGUGGUUUAAUUCGAAGAUACGCGAAGAACCUUACCUAGCCUUGACAUUGAGAGAACCUACCAGAGAUGGCGGGGUGCCCUUCGGGGAGCUCGAAAACAGGUGCUGCACGGCUGUCGUCAGCUCGUGUCGUGAGAUGUUGGGUUAAGUCCCGCAACGAGCGCAACCCUCGUCCUUAGUUGCUAGCAGGUUAAGCUGAGCACUCUAAGGAGACUGCCUUCGUAAGGAGGAGGAAGGUGAGGACGACGUCAAGUCAUCAUGGCCCUUAUGGCUAGGGCUACACACGUGCUACAAUGGGGCGUACAGAGUGUUGCGAUACCG
rnacentral:rRNA from 1 species